GCCCGGGUGGUGGAAUGGCAUACACGUACGCUUGAGGGGCGUAUGGGGAGACCCGUGCGAGUUCAAGUCUCGCCCCGGGCACCA
rnacentral:tRNA from 1 species